CUUCCGCAUCUAGAACAUUCGAACAUUCGUUUACGUAAAUAAAGAAAUACGUUUGUAUUGUUAGAUUAUACAACGGCAAUAAGUGGAAUUAAACAUCUAAAAUGAGUAUUCAAAAAUUUCAAGAGAUACUAAUUAUCUAUCUGGGUGUUUGAAAGAAAGAUAUUCUAACGGCCCUGACAUACAAACAUGGAAUUCGUUAUACUGUGGAAAAUAUUAUGGAGUCAUUCAACAGUACAUGCGGCAUCCAGAUGAAUUCCAACGUCAAUAUGUAAAACUUUAGGAAGAAAACGAUUGCUUAAAACAAAAUAUAUCUGAAAAAAACUACUAAACAACAACUGGAAAAAACUUUAAGAAGAGAACGUUUUCACUUGUUACUUGUAAUCACUCAAGCGUAGGAUUGUUUUACAACUGCUUACGUGACUGAACACCAUACAUGUAAUCACUCAAGCGUAGAAUUGUUUUACAACUGCUUACGUGACUGAAGACCAUACAUGUAAUCACUCGAGCGUAGCAUUUUUUUACAACUGCUUACGUGACUGAACAUCAUACUUGUAACCACUCGAGCGUAAGAUUGUUUCACAAUUGUAUACACGGCUGAAUAUCAUACUUGUAAUUACUCAAGCGUAAGAUUGUUUUACAAUUGCAUACAUGAUUGAAUAUCAUAGUUUUCACUUGUUUCAUGUAAUCACUCAAGCGUAGGAUUGUUUUACAAUUGCUUACGUGACUGAAUAUCAUACUUGUAAUUACUCAAGCGUAGGAUUGUUUUACAAUUGUAUACACGGUUGAAUAUCAUACUUGUAAUUACUCAAGCGUAGGAUUGUUUCACAAUUGCAUACGCGAUUGAAUAUCAUAGAUUUUAACUUGUUACUUGUAUUCACUCAAGCGUAGGAUUGUUUUACAAUUUUCUGCAGGAUAUUAAUCUGAUGUUAGAAAUAUCAGUUAAUGAAACAUGAAA
rnacentral:lncRNA from 1 species